rfam:Stegodyphus mimosarum contig5345, whole genome shotgun sequence.
GCCUUCGUGGUGUAGUGGUCAGUAUGCUGGGCGCGUAUUCCAUAGGUCCGUGGUUCGAGUCCCGGCGAAGACG